rnacentral:rRNA from 1 species
GGUCAAUGGACGAGAGUCUGAACCAGCCAAGUAUUAUCGAUAGUUACCAUCAGGUUAAGCUGGGGACUCUAGCGGGACUGCCACUGCAAGGUGUGAGGAAGGGGGGGAUGACGUCAAAUCAGCACGGCCCUUACGUCCGGGGCGACACACGUGUUACAAUGGUGAGUACAGAGUGAAGCUACCUGGCGACAGGAUGCAGAUCUCGAAAGCUCAUCCCAGUUCGGAUUGGAGUCUGCAACCCGACUCCAUGAAGUUGGAUUCGCUAGUAAUCGCGCAUCAGCCAUGGCGCGGUGAAUACGUUCCCGGGCCUUGCACACACCGCCCGUA